CCUACGGGCGGCAGCAGUGGGGAAUAUUGGACAAUGGGCGAAAGCCUGAUCCAGCCAUGCCGCGUGUGUGAAGAAGGCCUUCGGGUUGUAAAGCACUUUCAGUGGGGAAGAAAGCCUUGGGGCUAAUACCCUCGAGGAAGGACAUCACCCACAGAAGAAGCACCGGCUAACUCCAUGCCAGCAGCCGCGGUAAUACGGAGGGUGCGAGCGUUAAUCGGAAUUACUGGGCGUAAAGCGCGCGUAGGCGGUCUGAUAAGCCGGUUGUGAAAGCCCCGGGCUCAACCUGGGAACGGCAUCCGGAACUGUCAGGCUAGAGUGCAGGAGAGGAAGGUAGAAUUCCCGGUGUAGCGGUGAAAUGCGUAGAGAUCGGGAGGAAUACCAGUGGCGAAGGCGGCCUUCUGGACUGACACUGACGCUGAGGUGCGAAAGCGUGGGUAGCAAACAGGAUUAGAUACCCCUGUAGUC
rnacentral:rRNA from 1 species